GCCCGUGCAAUAAUUGAAUAACAUAGAUUUCUAAAUUUAUUUUUGCAACGCUCGCGUGAGGUCAGUCUGUAACGCUAGCUUGCUAACGUUAGCUCUUUUUUUUAAAUUGUAAUGACCUGGCUAGAUCGUAAAGGAACAAUUGUCCAGACAAUUGAUUGGUUAAUAAACCGUGAUUUCGUAACCUCAAACUCCACACAGGCUACUGUUUGGAACCACCAGGAUGCGUGGCAUCAGAACAUUCCAGGCAUUCCCGUGAUUGGCAGGUAGUAGGUUAAUUGGCAGGUCGGACCCCGCGAACACUGGGUACUGGUUAGCAUUGAAGAGUUUUCCCCCACAGCCAGGAUGACCAAGUGCCCACACUUUGACAGGAACAUUCUGUGUCCACCAUCAACACAGGAGCUGGGGGACCUGAUGGAGGAGGCUCGCAUGCGCAUCCUGAAGGCACAGGUCUGGGUCACUUCACUGGAUCACACUCAAAACUAUAUUCAUGAUGCCAUCAUAUUCACCCUGACCUCACGUAAAGUGGUGAGCCUGAUUUCUCGUUCAGCCUGUUCAAUGUAGAACAUGUGGAAUGAAAGCAUUCCUCACUUAAAAACCGUUCGUCCUGAUACUCUUUUGAAUUUUUUUCAAAUAUGUGAAAUCAAUGUGUUCGAUAGGAUAUUACGUUAGAAGUUGUUUUUGUUUCUUUAAUCACAGGCUGUACCUCUGUUUUCCUUCACUUAGUUGUAGCCUUGUCGAUACACUCCUACAAUGUGGUUAGGGCUUAGGAUGACGCAUAAGAUUAUGAUGAACUUUUAGCCCACAGGGAAGGAACUAUUGACUUUGGUGAAUGUAAUAGGUUUAGCAUGAAGUUGACAGAUGAACCAUUAAGAGUCCAGUAUAAACGGUGUUUAAACUGGGAACUGGUGUUGGUUUUCUACCAGACAAGCUACUGGAAGUAGCACAGUGCUGGAAUUCUGAACAGAGGCAGCCAGGACCCUGAUUAAUACAGCUGAGAACAUGACGAACCACAAGGAAAAGUUGUGUUGCUCUCGCUGCACUCACUCAAAGAUAUAGGAACAACACUGUAUUCGAAGUGCCCACUAUUACAUUCUAACUACAGAAUUAGAUUCAUUCUAUUUCCAAGAUCACAAGUCAAAUCACAAUGGCAAUAUUUGGUUAAAAAUAAGGCCUCAAUUAUUUUGCCCAUAUCGUGCAGCACUACGUGGCAGUGUGGAAAUGUCAAAUGAAACAAUCAGAAUGGAGAAAGACCCUUUGAAAUCAAUUAGAAUUCAUGUGCUGCCACCCUAGUGUCAUGCACAACUCAUAAAGCAAAUUAAUAACUUUUAUUAUUGAAAAACAUUAAAUACCGUCAUACCAUCAAAAAUGUGAAAAAAUAACAUUAUUUUUUGCCAUAUCACCCAGCC
rnacentral:lncRNA from 1 species